AGUGAACGCUGGCGGUAGGCCUAACACAUGCAAGUCGAACGGCAGCACAGUAAGAGCUUGCUCUUACGGGUGGCGAGUGGCGGACGGGUGAGGAAUACAUCGGAAUCUACUUUUUCGUGGGGGAUAACGUAGGGAAACUUACGCUAAUACCGCAUACGACCUACGGGUGAAAGCAGGGGAUCUCCGGACCUUGCGCGAUUGAAUGAGCCGAUGUCGGAUUAGCUAGUUGGCGGGGUAAAGGCCCACCAAGGCGACGAUCCGUAGCUGGUCUGAGAGGAUGAUCAGCCACACUGGAACUGAGACACGGUCCAGACUCCUACGGGAGGCAGCAGUGGGGAAUAUUGGACAAUGGGCGCAAGCCUGAUCCAGCCAUACCGCGUGGGUGAAGAAGGCCUUCGGGUUGUAAAGCCCUUUUGUUGGGAAAGAAAAGCAGCAGGUUAAUACCCCGCUGUUCUGACAGUACCCAAAGAAUAAGCACCGGCUAACUUCGUG
rnacentral:rRNA from 1 species